GUCUACAGCCAUGCCACCCUGAACAUGACCGAUCUUGUCUGAUCUUGGAAGCUAAGCAGGGUUGGGCCUGAUUAGUGCUUGGAUGGGAGACCACCUAGGAAUACCAGGUGCUGUAGGCA
rnacentral:rRNA from 1 species